CCAAGAGAAGGGAGGGAGUAAGAAAGGACUGUGCUGCCUAUUAAAAAUAGAGAAUUUCUCGACAUUCAGGUCUUCGGAUUUUUAGGAACUUUCCAUCUUAAACCUGAAAUACUCACCCAUGGAGAGAGGAGCAUGCCAUUAUUUUCUACUUUCAGCAGAUUUUUCAAUGCUGUUGAUCUUUUCAAAUAUCUGCACAUCAUAUGUAUCCAUAUUUUGUUGAUGAAAUAGUGGAAUGUUUAAUUUUAAUGAAAGCCAGUUAAAAAUKGAUAACAGAAUUACUUUGGAGAGCUUAUUAAAAUUCAGACUUUACCUAGAGAUUAAAGUUGUCAAGUUGCAAAAUUAUCAUGGAGGUUGGUGAAAGGGUGGAUCUUCACAUUGUAUUCUAUGAGAAUGACUUUCCUGGGAAUGUAAGUGUACUGCCUUUGUGGCUAUAGAGUCUGAGAAGUAUAUAGGCAUUGUGGUGUUUUCUCAUCAAUUUCUCCUUAUCUUGUUCAUACACAUCCUCCCAUUCUUACCUAGUGUGCUUUAGAAGGUGUCUCCAUGUCUGGAUAUAGGUGUAGGCACAUUGCUUAGAGUUAAUUAGUGUGAGCCCAUCUCAUGACUGAAUUAUUCAGCUCAGGAAUGGGCACUUGACUCAAUUCAGGUAAAGAAGUAUUUUCUAUUUUAAGGGAGAAUGCUUCUUUAGAGUUCUUGCAGAAACAACCUCCUCUUUUUUCUAAGAUGUGAUACAGGAAGCAGAUUCUCAGGGAAUAGAAGAUAGCUCUCUUCAGAAUGAAGCUGAUACCAUGGAGGGUGGAGAGGAAAAAAAUAAAGCAUUUUUUUUUUGCUGACAUUGAC